CCUACGGGAGGCUGCAGUGGGGAAUAUUGCACAAUGGGCGCAAGCCUGAUGCAGCCAUGCCGCGUGUGUGAAGAAGGCCUUCGGGUUGUAAAGCACUUUCAGCGGGGAGGAAGGCGGUGAGGUUAAUAACCUCAUCGAUUGACGUUACCCGCAGAAGAAGCACCGGCUAACUCCGUGCCAGCAGCCGCGGUAAUACGGAGGGUGCAAGCGUUAAUCGGAAUUACUGGGCGUAAAGCGCACGCAGGCGGUCUGUCAAGCCGGAUGUGAAAUCCCCGGGCUCAACCUGGGAACUGCAUUCGAAACUGGCAGGCUAGAGUCUUGUAGAGGGGGGUAGAAUUCCAGGUGUAGCGGUGAAAUGCGUAGAGAUCUGGAGGAAUACCGGUGGCGAAGGCGGCCCCCUGGACAAAGACUGACGCUCAGGUGCGAAAGCGUGGGGAGCAAACAGGAUUAGAUACCCGAGUAGUC
rnacentral:rRNA from 1 species